AACCCAGUGCAAUUCGUUGCACUAUCGUUAACUGAAUACAUAGGUUAACGAGGCGAACCGGGGGAACUGAAACAUCUAAGUACCCCGAGGAAAAGAAAUCAACCGAGAUUCCCCCAGUAGCGGCGAGCGAACGGGGAGCAGCCCAGAGUCUGAAUCAGCUUGUGUGUUAGUGGAACGGUCUGGAAAGUCCGACGGUACAGGGUGAUAGUCCCGUACACCAAAAUGCACAGGUUGUGAACUCGAAGAGUAGGGCGGGACACGUGGUAUCCUGUCUGAAUAUGGGGGGACCAUCCUCCAAGGCUAAAUACUCCUGACUGACCGAUAGUGAACCAGUACCGUGAGGGAAAGGCGAAAAGAACCCCGGCGAGGGGAGUGAAAAAGAACCUGAAACCGUGUACGUACAAGCAGUGGGAGCACCUUCGGGUGUGACUGCGUACCUUUUGUAUAAUGGGUCAGCGACUUAUAUUCUGUAGCAAGGUUAACCGUAUAGGGGAGCCGCAGGGAAACCGAGUCUUAACUGGGCGUUAAGUUGCAGGGUAUAGACCCGAAACCCGGUGAUCUAGCCAUGGGCAGGUUGAAGGUUGGGUAACACUAACUGGAGGACCGAACCGACUAAUGUUGAAAAAUUAGCGGAUGACUUGUGGCUGGGGGUGAAAGGCCAAUCAAACCGGGAGAUAGCUGGUUCUCCCCGAAAGCUAUUUAGGUAGCGCCUCGUGAAUUCAUCUUCGGGGGUAGAGCACUGUUUCGGCUAGGGGGUCAUCCCGACUUACCAACCCGAUGCAAACUACGAAUACCGAAGAAUGUUAUCACGGGAGACACACGGCGGGUGCUAACGUCCGUCGUGAAGAGGGAAACAACCCAGACCGCCAGCUAAGGUCCCAAAGUCAUGGUUAAGUGGGAAACGAUGUGGGAAGGCACAGACAGCCAGGAUGUUGGCUUAGAAGCAGCCAUCAUUUAAAGAAAGCGUAAUAGCUCACUGGUCGAGUCGGCCUGCGCGGAAGAUGUAACGGGGCUAAACCAUGCACCGAAGCUGCGGCAGCGACACUAUGUGUUGUUGGGUAGGGGAGCGUUCUGUAAGCCUGCGAAGGUGACCUGUGAGGG
rnacentral:rRNA from 1 species